rnacentral:rRNA from 1 species
GACGAACGCUGGCGGCGUGCUUAACACAUGCAAGUCGAACGGAAAGGCCCUGCUUUUGUGGGGUGCUCGAGUGGCGAACGGGUGAGUAGCACGUGAGUAACCUGCCCUUGACUUUGGGAUAACUUCAGGAAACUGGGGCUAAUACCGGAUAGGAGCUCCUGCUGCAUGGUGGGGGUUGGAAAGUUUCGGCGGUUGGGGAUGGACUGGCGGCUUAUCAGCUUGUUGGUGGGGUAGUGGCUUACCAAGGCUUUGACGGGUAGCCGGCCUGAGAGGGUGACCGGCCACAUUGGGACUGCGGUACGGCCCAGAAUCCUACGGGAGGCAGCAGUGGGGAAUAUUGCACAAUGGGCGGAAGCCUGAUGCAGCAACUCCGCGUGCGGGAUGACGGCCUUCGGGUUGUAAACCGCUUUCGCCUGUGCCGAAGCGUGAGUGACGGUAAUGGGUAAAGAAGCACCGGCUAACUACGUG